UCAGUAUGGUGUAAUGGCUAACACAUCAGUCCGGUCUUCUGAAGAUGCUGGUUCGCUCCCAGCGCCGAA